rnacentral:rRNA from 1 species
GAUGAACGCUGGCGGCGUGCCUAAUACAUGCAAGUCGAGCGAACAGAUAAGGAGCUUGCUCCUUUGACGUUAGCGGCGGACGGGUGAGUAACACGUGGGUAACCUACCUAUAAGACUGGAAUAACUCCGGGAAACCGGGGCUAAUGCCGGAUAACAUUUAGAACCGCAUGGUUCUAAAGUGAAAGAUGGUUUUGCUAUCACUUAUAGAUGGACCCGCGCCGUAUUAGCUAGCUGGUAAGGUAACGGCUUACCAAGGCAACGAUACGUAGCCGACCUGAGAGGGUGAUCGGCCACACUGGAACUGAGACACGGUCCAGACUCCUACGGGAGGCAGCAGUAGGGAAUCUUCCGCAAUGGGCGAAAGCCUGACGGAGCAACGCCGCGUGAGUGAUGAAGGUCUUCGGAUCGUAAAACUCUGUUAUUAGGGAAGAACGAAUGUGUAAGUAACUGUGCACGUCUUGACGGUACCUAAUCAGAAAGCCACGGCUAACUACGUG